UACGUAGGGACCAAGCGUUGUUCGGAUUUACUGGGCGUAAAGGGCGCGUAGGCGGCUUGUCAAGUCAGUUGUGAAAUCUCCGGGCUUAACUCGGAAAGGUCAACUGAUACUGUGCGACUAGAGUGCAGAAGGGGCAACUGGAAUUCUCGGUGUAGCGGUGAAAUGCGUAGAUAUCGAGAGGAACACCUGCGGCGAAGGCGGGUUGCUGGGCUGACACUGACGCUGAUGCGCGAAAGCCAGGGGAGCGAACGGG
rnacentral:rRNA from 1 species